GGAUCAGUUGGUAGAGCAUGGCGUUUGCAACGCCAGGGUUGUGGGUUCGAUUCCCAC
rnacentral:tRNA from 1 species